UGGUGUUCGCCAAUGUUGUGC
rnacentral:siRNA from 1 species